AUCAUUUAGGACAGCUCUCCUCUCGAAUCACUGCAGCUAGGUCAAGCUAUCCAGCAUUGAAACGGCUUGCCUUGGAAGCAGGCCGUGAAUUGUUCAGCCUACAGCCCAGCAAGCAUGAUGCACAUAGUCAAUAAGUGCCCAACAACCUGAACAAACUGUGUGAUCCAACAGGAGAGCUGCCAUAAAGGGGCGAUUGACCAUCCAAGCCAGGUUCUAUCCUGGAUUGAUAAUUCAGCCUUUCGAACUGUAUGCAUUUUAGCAAUAUGUAGAUCUAGUGACGUUUAACUCUAUAAUUUGACGCACACGUUUCAAUUUAAAUAGUACGGAUGUUUCAGAGUUCUGUCUAUUAUGCAGUCUAAACAUUAUGCUUGACUACAAAC